rnacentral:misc_RNA from 1 species
GGAGAAGCUUGAUGGGCUCCAGAGGGAGGGUACUGAAAGUAACUCCCAGGUAGGAUUCUCUCCCCCAUCACACACCAGAAAAAUUAAUAAUGGGUGUGGAUGCAAGCAGAGAGAAAACAGAUGAAAAGGGUAGAGCUUUGAGAGCCAAAGACUGCUUCUAAGUCCUCCCCAGUCUCUACCCUUUAUUGUAAGAGCAUAGGAGCGUCAAAAGACCAAGC